rnacentral:rRNA from 1 species
AUUGAACGCUGGCGGCAUGCCUUACACAUGCAAGUCGAACGGCAGCACGGGAGCAAUCCUGGUGGCGAGUGGCGAACGGGUGAGUAAUAUAUCGGAACGUGCCCAGUAGUGGGGGAUAGCCCGGCGAAAGCCGGAUUAAUACCGCAUGAGACCUGAGGGUGAAAGCGGGGGAUCGCAAGACCUCGCGCUAUUGGAGCGGCCGAUAUCAGAUUAGCUAGUUGGUGGGGUAAAGGCCUACCAAGGCAACGAUCUGUAGUUGGUCUGAGAGGACGACCAGCCACACUGGGACUGAGACACGGCCCAGACUCCUACGGGAGGCAGCAGUGGGGAAUUUUGGGCAAUGGGCGCAAGCCUGAUCCAGCAAUGCCGCGUGCAGGAAGAAGGCC